CCCUUAGAUGUUCUGGGCCGCACGCGCGCUACACUGAUGCAUGCAACAAGUCUUUUCCUUGGCCGAGAGGCCUGGGCAAUCUUUGAAUAUGCAUCGUGAUGGGGAUAGACGAUUGCAAUUAUUCGUCUUCAACGAGGAAUUCCUAGUAAACGCAAGUCAUCAGCUUGCAUUGAUUACGUCCCUGCCCUUUGUACACACCGCCCGUCGCACCUACCGAUUGAAUGGUCCGGUGAAGGCUUCGGAGGCGGCUUUCUCAAUGUUUAUUCGGCGAGACUGCUGCCAAAGUUGAAUGAACCUUACCAUUUAGAGGAAGGUGAANUCGUANCA
rnacentral:rRNA from 1 species